rnacentral:tRNA from 1 species
GGGUAUAUAGCUCAGUGGUAGAGCGUGUGCUUAGCAUGCACGAGGCCUGGGUUCGAUCCUCAGCAACUUCA